UUAGUAUAUCUGAGAUGAGACCUAGGAAACCACUUUUAACAGGUGCCCGCAGGUGAUGAAUCUCAGGAUUUACUCUGUAUAGAUUUCAAGGUAGAUGUAUGUACUACAGCUUCUCGGCCCUUCGCUCAGGGACUGAAGGGAGUUCUGUUUGGGGUGGUGGUGAGGGUGUGGGGAGUUGAUAGAAAAGAAGAGAAAAAACCGGCUACUUAAAUUGUAUCCUUGGCAUCUUACUUGGUUCUCAGAGCUGUAUGUUUUCAGCUGUAUGCAUCUUUGGAGUUUAAGAGGAGGAACCAAGUUGUCUCUUUCAUUUGGAAGAGAGAAAUAUUACAGUCUUCAUCAUCCCAAGAUUAAUCUUGCAGUGCUGCUUUUAAAAUCAUGUGGCCCUGGAUCAACUACUAGCUGAUCUAAAGUAUCCAUAGCCACUGCAAUGUGCAGAACCACUGCGGCAGCUCUUGAAAGCUUUCACGUGUUGUCCCGUGACACGCAGGAGGGAUGCUCUCCAAAUGCCUGCCUGACCACGCGUUGUACGCGGCGCUUCAUCUCAGCACGUGGCACUGUCAGCCCCAGAGUUGGAACUCCACAGACCACCUGAUGUUUCACUUCGAUGACUAAUCCAUACCUCAACAUGUCCACCUCUCCGUUCUAAGCUCUCACUCCACGCUUGCUCCACCAGAAGUGUCUGCUCUCUCAGUGGUGACAACUCCGUCCUUGCAGUUGCUCAAGCCUCAGAUACCUGCUUCAAAACAAAACAAAUGGAAAAUCAUGUGAUCAUCUCCAGAAUACGACACAAAUGAACUUGUCUAUGAAACAGAAACAGACUCAGAGACAGAGAGAACAGACUGGUGGUUGCCAAGGCGGAGGUGGGGAGGGUGAGUGACGGAUGAAUGAGGAGUCUGGGAUUAGCAGAUGCAAACUAUUAUAUAUGGAAUGGAUGAACAACAAGGUCCUACUGUACAGCACAGGUUUCCACUCCCCAUGGAGAAGCUCUCUCCUUCUAACAGUGGAUCUCGCUGUUGUCACAGAGCAAGUUGUAGCAGGUUUUCCUCGGCUCUGUGAGGUUGGUCAUUAUGUCAUUGUCCCCUCGUUACACCUGUGUUCUUUCUCUGGGUCCCUAAAUGUUACUUCCCUUCUUCACUCACUCAUAGGAAAAUACUGUAAACAAACAUUAGCCUCACAAUAAGAGGAUUGUUUUUCUUCCUAGACAAAUUGAAAUGUUUUAGACAGUAGAAAUAAAGGAAUUUUAAUGAAUACAGAGUGAAUACUUUCAACUUCUUUUUCUCCUUUCCCAGAAUGAAUAAGUAACAAUUGUAGGUCAGCAUUUUAGGAUAAUCUAGCCAGGGCGUAUAAGCUUUUUAAGCAUGAAAUUAUUUUAAGCACUUCAUUUAUGGCGUAAAUUGUGACUUUUAUAUUGGGAUGGGGCAUAUGAGGGUAGGAGGUAAUGGAGGGAGAAGAAGGACAUGUUCUUGAAUUGUAUUUGAAAGAAGUGAUUUCCUCUAGCUGUCUUCUCUCAGCCCUUGCAAGGUCAAGUCUCUACUUGGGCAAAAAGAAGAUGGAAGGACAACACGGAAACCUUGUCCGGUGGAGCUGUUUUAAUGAAGAGCUUGUUUCUGCCCCAAGCAGAAAUACCUUGGAAUGUGAGAGUUUCAGGAAAACGGAGUAGAAUGACCUAAGAUCUCCAAGGUCAAGGUCUAGUGACUUCAGAAACUGUGACUUCUCAGAAAGCCCAGAGAGGUCAUCUCCUCACUAACCUACUGAUGAAGGCAAAGAGAAUGUACGCAGGAAGAAAGGAAUAUUUUCCGAAUCCUGACACUCAGGAAUUUCCCAGAUGUCACUACUGAGGUUGGAAAAAUACUCUACUGGCAUGCUCAUGGAACCACUGCCCUGAUGUUUUUCAGAAAGUGAAGCUUAUCAUUUCCAAUGCAUUGUAAGUUGUUUCUCAGUGAGCAUUCAUU